rnacentral:rRNA from 1 species
UACGGAGGGAGCUAGCGUUGUUCGGAAUUACUGGGCGUAAAGCGCACGUAGGCGGCUUUUUAAGUCAGGGGUGAAAUCCCGGGGCUCAACCCCGGAACUGCCCUUGAAACUGGAAAGCUAGAAUCUUGGAGAGGCGAGUGGAAUUCCGAGUGUAGAGGUGAAAUUCGUAGAUAUUCGGAAGAACACCAGUGGCGAAGGCGACUCGCCGGACAAGUAUUGACGCUGAGGUGCGAAAGCGUGGGGAGCAAACAGG